AUGAGUCACUGCAUCUCAGUUGCAUCACUGGAAGAACAGGGCAGGCUGGUACAGAAGGCAGAGCUGGUACGGCUGUCCCAGACACUGAGCCUGGUGCCCCGGCUACAUUGGCUGCUAGUGGAGGACGCUGAGGGUCCCACCCCACUGGUCUCAGGGCUGCUGGCCGCCUCUGGCCUUCUCUUCACACACCUGGUGGUCCUCGAGCCCAAAGCCCAGCGGCUUCAGGAGGGCGAGCCUGGCUGGGUUCAUCCCCGUGGUGUAGAGCAGUGGAGCAAGGCCCUGGACUGGCUCCAGGGCAGAGGGGGAGCUGUGGGUGGGGAGAAGGACCCACCACCACCAGGGACCCAGGGAGUUGUGUACUUUGCUGAUGAUGACAACACCUACAGCCGGGAGCUACUUGAGGAGAUGCGCUGGACCCAUGGUGUCUCAGUGUGGCCUGUGGGGCUGGUGGGCGGCCUGCGAUUCGAGAGCCCUCAGGUCCAGGAUGGCCGGGUUGUGGGCUUCCACACAGCAUGGGAGCCCAACAGGCCCUUCCCUGUUAAUAUGGCUGGAUUUGCUGUGGCUCUGCCCUUGCUGUUGGCUAAACCCAAUGCCCAAUUUGAUUCCACCGCUCCCCGGGGCCACCUGGAGAGCAGUCUUCUGAGCCACCUUGUGGAUCCCAAGGACCUGGAGCCACGGGCUACCAACUGCACUUGGGUACUGGUGUGGCAUACAUGGACAGAGAAGCCCAAGAUGAAGCAGGAGGAGCAGUGCAGCAGCAGGGCCGGGGCUUAGACCCAGCAGUUGAGGUGUGAUGGCCCCACCCCAACUCCCACCUCUUUUCAGGCACAGACCUUGUGGGACUGGACCCCGGGCCUUCCCAGGAUGUGGCUUUCCAAGUCCUGACCCUUUCGAGCCAGAAGUGGCCCCUCGGCCCCUCCAGGCCCACGGCAUGGCCCUGCUGCUUUGCCCCUCCCCUGGCCUGCCGUGUGGCACUGCCCACAGGCUAGGAACAAGCAGCCCUUGUAUUGAGCCAGCUCAGCCCUGUCUAGGGUGGAGUAGAAGGACAGACGGACUCAAGAGGGAGGGCACCUGAGUAACUGGGUAAUUAAUUGGGGCUGGGCAUGCACUGGGGGGCUGGAGAAGCUGGGCUGGACCCUCCCCACCUGAGCAUGCUGAUCCCCUCCUACCUCCAGAAUAAAGAAUCUCAACCUGGAAAAAAAAAAAAAAA